GCCGCUAUACCUCAGUGGCUAGAGCUUUGGUCCGUAAAACCAAAGGUCGCGACCUCGAAUCUCGUUGGCUGCA